AGGGAUAUAGUUCAGCUGGUAGACUGUGAGACUCUUAAUCUCAGGGCUGUGGGUUUGAGACCCAUAUGGGUGAAAGAUUCCUG